GAUGAACGCUGGCGGCGUGCUUAACACAUGCAAGUCGAACGGAAAGGCUCCUGCUUGCAGGGGUACUCGAGUGGCGAACGGGUGAGUAACACGUGGGUGAUCUGCCCUGCACUUCGGGAUAAGCCUGGGAAACUGGGUCUAAUACCGGAUAGGACCACAUUUUGGAUGGUGUGGUGGAAAGUUUUUCGGUGUGGGGUGAGCUCGCGGCCUAUCAGCUUGUUGGUGGGGUAAUGGCCUACCAAGGCGUCGACGGGUAGCCGGCCUGAGAGGGUGUACGGCGACAUUUGGACUGAGAGACGGCCCAGACUCCUACGGGAGGCAGCAGUGGGGAAUAUUGCACAAUGGGCGCAAGCCUGAGGCAGCGACGCCGCGUGUGGGAUGACGGCCUUCGGGUUGUAAACUCCUUUCGCUAGGGACGAAGCGUUUUUGUGACGGUACCUGGAGAAGAAGCACCGGCUAACUACGUG
rnacentral:rRNA from 1 species